rnacentral:lncRNA from 1 species
CUGCUCUUACCAAACGCUCCAUCACUUUCGGAAGCACGGUAUGUUUCAAACUCUCUGCUUCAUUCAUUUGUGGUGUAAUGGUAAUUAUGUUUCCAAGAACAGAUUUUUAGCUAGUAGUUCCUUUUCUAAUACUACUUAUCUUUUCUUAGUUUUCCCCAUGUGACCUUUGUUUUCCAGGUUCUAGCUGCCGAUACUUUAGUUUCUGAUUGGCUACGAUGAGUCGCCGAAACACCGACACCGUUACCACUUCCGUCCACCUGAAACACCAAUGCCGGAAUCAAUAACAUCUGACCGCCGACGCUGAUUCCGGUAAGUCCAACGUACAAGUAAGUGCUCCUUCUCGAGUUACCUAGCAACAGGGCAAUCACGGAGUUACAGACUAGUACGACGGAAGUGAAUGAAGAAGAGAAGGAGAAGAAGAGGAAUUAUUAUUUAAAUACGUGAUAUAUUUGAAAAUUUGAAUAAUUAUUUGAAUUAUUAUUUGGCGGCGGAGGAUUAAUAUGUGAUACAUUUGAUUGUAUUUCUAUGAUUUUUAUAUGAUUCAUAUUAUGUUUAUGAAAGUUCUCUAAUUCAUAUUAAUAUUGUCUGCAUUAGUUUGAAGAGGUUAUCUCUUAUAUUAGUGAUACAAUUUUAUAGUUAAAAUAAAUGUAUGUAUCACCAAUAAUCUGACCGCAAAUGUAUCACUCAUACAUUGUCAAUACAAAUAUAUCACCAAUAAUCUAACAGCAAAAUGUAUCACUCAUACACUGUCAACAAAUGUAUCACUCAUAUACUGAUAACAAAAGUAUCAUUCAUAUGAAUCACCGUUACACUAUGAAAAUGUAUCCAGAAAAUUAAUAUUUUUAUAUAUGUAUCACCUAUAUGUAUCUUCGACAAAUUUUAUAUUAAUAUUAACUUAAACAUGUAUGAAUAGCUAAAUAAAUUUAUAUAUGUAUCAAUCGAUUUAAAAAAAAAAAAUUGGGAGAGAUUUUCGGAGAAGAUAUUGUUAAAAAAAGUUAGUUGCAUGCUUUAAUGGAGGAUAGCAAAUUGGGAAGAAGAUCCUUGAUUUAAUAUAAUGAUGCGACUAAUUUCAAUUUGGUGUUGUUCAUUUAGUGAUUGUCAUAUUUGCACUUUGAAUGUUGAAAAUUUUACAACCUGACAUUUUAUUGUAAAUACUUUUUUUUUAAAACUUAAAAA